rnacentral:misc_RNA from 1 species
AGAAUAUAUGCAAACCAGUCUCGUACCAAUCUCCAUCAUCAUCUUUCCAUGCAGCUACCUUUCCACCUAGAACAUCCCUUGCCUCCAGCAGUAUCGGUUUGUGACCAGCAUCUGCCAAAUAUUUUGCUGUAGACAAACCACCCAAACCUGCACCAGCAAUAACAAUCUCCAAUGGUUUAGUUGGGCGCGGAGAAGCACGGAACGUUGAUGAUAAAAAUGCAGCCUCCAAAUAGUUAACUGUAUUGUCCAGCUCUGGUCUUGGAUAAUCAAUGCAUACGACCUUUAAAGGCCCCAAGUCCUUAACCAAUCUUCUGGUCGUGGCAUGGGGAGUACGAAUCUUUAACUUAUGACCCAUUGAUUCGCUACCAGCAAAACAUAACGAAUUCCUUUGCAAGCAACCAUCUCGACUUUCAGUUCCCAAAGAAGACGACCUCGAGCUCCAAAGAUAAGCUGAACUACCUUGGACUCUCAAGUUAACAGCAGAAACAAGUCCAAUUUGAGGCAUUUUACUGAAAAAUAACAGUAAAACCUCGGAACGAAUGAAAGCACCUAGAAGAUAUAGGGAGUGGUUCUGCACAAUUAAGCAAAUAAAUUUGGUUGGGUUGAAGUUGAAGAGUUAAAUGGAAACUUGAAAUUUGUGGUGGUUUGGCAGUUACCCAGAAAAAGAUACCGAAUGCUAUAACUAGUAAAAGCGUAUAAUUCUGUAUAAAUAAACAAACUAAUUUAUGAUGAAGAUGCCUGCUUUCGGUGAUUUGGCCAAUUCCCUUUAAAUCAAAUCUCAUGUUUGGCUACAAUCCAAAAUUUGACACGUCCCACCAUAGCCACACUUGCG